rnacentral:ncRNA from 1 species
UAUGGGAGCUUGUAAGAGCAGGCUGAGAGGAAGUAAUCGAACUUCGACCGAUUGUACCUGAUUUGGGUAAUGCCAACGUAGGGAUUUGAUGC